rnacentral:rRNA from 1 species
GACGAACGCUGGCGGCGUGCUUAACACAUGCAAGUCGAACGGUGAAGCGCCUUCCUUUUUGGUGGGUGUGGAUGAGUGGCGAACGGGUGAGUAACACGUGAGUAACCUGCCCCCUUCUUCUGGAUAACCGCAUGAAAGUGUGGCUAAUACGGGAUAUUCUGGGUCUGUCGCAUGAUGGGUCUGGGAAAGAUAUUGUUUCGGUGGGGGAUGGGCUCGCGGCCUAUCAGCUUGUUGGUGGGGUGAUGGCCUACCAAGGCGGUGACGGGUAGCCGGCCUGCGAGGGUGGACGGUCACACUGGGACUGAGACACGGCCCAGACUCCUACGGGAGGCAGCAGUGGGGAAUAUUGCACAAUGGGCGCAAGCCUGAUGCAGCGACGCCGCGUGAGGGAUGGAGGCCUUCGGGUUGUGAACCUCUUUCGCCAGUGAAGCAGGCCUGCCUCGUUUGUGGGUGGGUUGACGGUAGCUGGAUAAGAAGCGCCGGCUAACUACGUG